UUACCUGGUCUUGACAUCCACAGAACUUUCCAGAGAUGGAUUGGUGCCUUCGGGAACUGUGAGACAGGUGCUGCAUGGCUGUCGUCAGCUCGUGUUGUGAAAUGUUGGGUUAAGUCCCGCAACGAGCGCAACCCUUAUCCUUUGUUGCCAGCGGUCCGGCCGGGAACUCAAAGGAGACUGCCAGUGAUAAACUGGAGGAAGGUGGGGAUGACGUCAAGUCAUCAUGGCCCUUACGACCAGGGCUACACACGUGCUACAAUGGCGCAUACAAAGAGAAGCGACCUCGCGAGAGCAAGCGGACCUCAUAAAGUGCGUCGUAGUCCGGAUUGGAGUCUGCAACUCGACUCCAUGAAGUCGGAAUCGCUAGUAAUCGUGGAUCAGAAUGCCACGGUGAAUACGUUCCCGGGCCUUGUACACACCGCCCGUCACACCAUGGGAGUGGGUUGCAAAAGAAGUAGGUAGCUUAACCUUCGGGAGGGCGCUUACCACUUUGUGAUUCAUGACUGGGGUGAAGUCGUAACAAGGUAACCGUAGGGGAACCUGCGGUUGGAUCAC
rnacentral:rRNA from 1 species